rnacentral:rRNA from 1 species
AUUGAACGCUGGCGGCAGGCCUAACACAUGCAAGUCGAGCGGAUGAAGGGUGCUUGCUCCUGGAUUCAGCGGCGGACGGGUGAGUAAUUCCUAUGAAUCUGCCUGGUAGUGGGUUAUAACGUCCGUAAACGGGCGCUAAUACCGCAUACUUCCUUAUGUUGAAAGUUGGUGAUCUUCGUACCUCACGCUAUCAUAUGAGCCUAGGUCGGAUUAGCUAGUUGGUGGGGUAAAGGCCUACCAAGGCGACGAUCCGUAACUGGUCUGAGAGGAUGAUCAGUCACACUGGAACUGAGACACGGAACAGACUACUACGGGAGGCAGCAGUGGGGAAUAUUGGACAAUGGGAGAAAGCAUGAUACAGCAAAGCCGAGUGUGAGAAGAAGGUCUUCGGAUUGUAAAGCACUUUAAGUUGGGAGGAAGGGAAGUAAGUUAAUACCUUGAUGUAUUGACGUUAACAAAAGAAUAAGCACCGGCUAACUUCGUG